ACUUAAAUUGAAGAGUUUGAUCAUGGCUCAGAUUGAACGCUGGCGGCAGGCCUAACACAUGCAAGUCGAGCGGUAGCACAGAGAGCUUGCUCUCGGGUGACGAGCGGCGGACGGGUGAGUAAUGUCUGGGAAACU
rnacentral:rRNA from 2 species